AGGUUAGGUUAGGUUAGGUUUUUUUUUUUUUUUUUUUUUUUUUUUUUUUUUUUUUUUUUUUUUUUUUUUUUUUUUUUUUUUUUUUAUCGUUAGGUUAGGUUUUUUUUUUUUUUUUUUUUUUUUUUUUUUUUUUUUUUUUUUUUUAUCUAUACCUCCGACAUGUGGGUCGGAGCACGUUUUCUGCAAUUACUCUUUCAUUCCAGUUCUCGCUUUCAUGCCUCUCGUACUUUCAUGCCGCAUACUUGUUCUUUCUUUCAUACAUCUCUCUCUUACUCGGGGUGGGUUCCCCA
rnacentral:misc_RNA from 1 species